CAAUAUUAUUCGUUUGUUGAGUGCUUGGGAGGACGUAUAACGAUGUCGUACAGGAACAAUGAUAGCCGUAUUUAUGUUGGAAAUUUGCCUCCUGACAUUAGAACAAAAGAUAUUGAAGAUAUAUUCUACAAGUUUGGGAAAAUUACUUUCAUCGACUUGAAAAAUAGAAGAGGCCCGCCUUUUGCCUUUGUGGAAUUUGAAGAUACCAGAGAUGCAGAAGAUGCGGUCCAUUCACGAGAUGGCUACGAUUAUGAUGGAUACCGGCUACGUGUAGAAUUUCCAAAAGGGAAUAAUCCAGGAAGAGGUUUUGGGUCCCGAGGCAGAGGUAGAGGUCCUCCAGCUCGUCGCUCUCAGCAUCGAAUUCUUGUUUCAGGUUUACCUGCAACUGGGAGUUGGCAGGAUCUGAAAGAUCACAUGCGAGAAGCUGGAGAUGUAUGCUAUGCUGAUGUAUCCAAAGAUGGGACAGGAGUUGUAGAGUUUCUCAGAUAUGAAGACAUGAAAUAUGCUGUAAAAAAGCUUGAUGACUCCAGGUUUCGUUCUCACGAGGGAGAGGUGUCCUACAUAAGAGUCAAGGAGGAUUAUUACGGACGGUCACGUUCCAGAAGUAGAAGUUACUCACCAAGACGUAGCAGAGGCUCACCAACAUACUCUCCAGCUCGUAGAUCCCACACUCGUUCCCGGUCCAGAUCAUAUUCCAAGUAAAAGAUCAACAUGUGCAUUCAGAUAGUGUUAACAUCUGAAACUUCAAAUAAUGCAUAGGAUGUGAUGUCGACGUAUUAUCAGCUUUAACUACGAUAUGAGGUAGCAAGGAUCACUUGGCUGUACUCUUAAGGAUUUAACAAAACUAUGGAUCUAACUGGAUUUCCUAAGGAUGGGAUGGCAUGGGUGUGGAUCCCAGGAUAGGCUAAACUCUCUCUCUCUCUCUUUGGAUGGCUCUGUAAAUAUCUGGUAUAGGAGUAGUAGCGACAGAAACAUUCCUGCUUCCUGGUAUGAAGGGCAGGAUUAACACCUUAUGGUUUAUCCAGGACAGGCAGCUUUUAGGAACAAAUUCCCAUUAGAUAAUUAUGUUGACUAAUGCUCUAAAUCUGCAGAGAAAGUGGAUUGUGUUCCAGGUGCUUCAUGAAGACCAGGAAUACAUAUCAUAAAUCUUGUAUUGGAUGGACCUAGUGGUUGCUAGGAGUAUGUGGGCAGUAAGACUUCAUUCGUGGCUUAUUCAUAGUGACAGAGAGGAGCACUCGAGGUGCAGGAAACUCCUGGCACUUGAAGCGUUACAUUUAAAGGAAACAUGUUUAAACCCUUCAGCACCAGGCUGCAGUGUGUCCAAUAAAGACUGGCACUGAAGGGAUUAAACACACUCAAUAGUACUUCACCACCAAGCUACUCGUGGAGAAUCUUAUGUUUUGCUAUAGCCUAACAUUGCAUAGGAAAAACAAGGAAUUCAUUUCUUGUGGAAUCAAGGAGAAGUUAAGGAUCCCCAUGGAUUUUUUUUUAUUAUAUUAAACAUGACAACAAGAUACAUGUUGCACUAAAUACUUGUUUGGAAGUUUAGGAACUUUAGUGAUCAAGGCCAGCUAAGGGAAAUCUCAUAUGAAAGUAUGGGUGUGUUACCAAUAACUCACUUGAUGUAAUACUAUAAAGAAUCAAACUUGCUUCUCUAUUUAUAUCUUU
rnacentral:misc_RNA from 1 species